UGAAGUAACUCACCCUAAGUCUCCCAGUUAAAAGGCAGCUUUACCCCACUUGAAGCUCAUGUUUCUCCACGUGCUAUGAUAUUAAUCAUGCACUGUGUGAUGAGAAAGAGAUUGUUCAAAUAGGUCAUAACAGGCUUCAUCUUUAAAAUGGCAUCUGAAUUAAGUCACGCCAAGAUGAGGAAAAAAAUCCAAAGGAGAACAAACACCAAGAACUAAAACCUUAUAGUGGAAAAUUACAUUGAUUCACUGAAUAGCUGCCUUGUGGCAGCCACUGUCCCAGGUGAAAGAUGUAGAUUAAAAAGUCUCGAUCAGCAAGAAGUUCAUAAGCAGGCAAUACUCUCAAACAAGCUGUUACUCAGAAACUCCAUUGUAAUAUGAGGCGGACACUCCUUGAACUUAUACAAGCAUGGUGAAAGUUCAGAGGUAUUAGGACAUAGGGAGCCAUGGAAAUAGAGACCAUGGACAAAAACUGAGACCACGGACAGAAAUAUCAGGACUCUGAAACAGAAGUGAUGGAUCUUUCAUCCCCUCAUUAGGUCUGCAAGGCCAAAACCCAAGCACUAUGGAAUGACCGACUAUAGAGCAUUUAUGCCCAACAGGACAAUAAAAAAAAGUCCAGAUUGUCCACCCACCCACCCCCACUCUGCUACCUCACUGGUUGCAAUACCUUGUGCUGAAAAAUCCUGAGUUAGUGGCUAUAGCAGAAGUUGGUAAACUAUCUGCUUUCUGAAUACAAACACAGCUCUUCCACAUGAAGAUAACAUAAGUAAAGAAACAAAUUCUGGGUUUUGACAAGUUAAAUGGCUAUCUGAAAUUAGAAAAGUGUUCUGAAGACUUUCCUCUUCCCCACACUGUUCUCUAAAACUAAUAGGUAAGGGCAGGGACUUCUCAUUGGAUUGCAUCAAGGCGAAAGACAAUCUCUCUCCAUAGAGGAGUAAGCAGGCACUUCCCCUGGCAGAACAUUUCACCAUUGCAGGAAAGAUUGCCUUUAGAUUCCAACUUCCCUGAGGGUCGAGUCUCUUUCUCUGUUACUUUCUGAAUUGCACCUAAAACACUAAGGACUUUCAAAGAAUAUUGGUUUGUGACAGACAAAAUGGAUCACUUACACUGUACAUCAGUACCAAAAACUUUAAUGCACUCAAACAAGGUCAUUUCAUCGUUACCAAGGAGCCAAAGAAAAGAAAACUAGAGAGAGAGAACCUUUUUGACAGUUGUUCCUUUACAAGUACUCUACUAACAUGGACCAAAAUUGAACGACGAUUCCAGAAAAAACAACAACAGAAGUAUGUGAUGUGCUCACAACCUCUACUACCCUGAUAAAUUUACUUGGGGUAUAUUCUUCUUUAUAAGAUCUAUUAGGCGCAUUUCUAGCUACUUAGAAAAAAGGUAAAUGACCCAGGCAGGACAUGUGGCAUCACAACCAAAGACCAAUUUUUAAGUGGCUAUUUUAUAUACGUAAUUGAAAUGUAUACUACUGUUGGUCUUUCUUCUUUCCCCUCUAUUUAACUGCUGGUGCAAAUAUUUAUAAAACUGAUAACACAAUUGUAGCACCUAAUAAAGACUUCUAUUAUUCA